rnacentral:misc_RNA from 1 species
GAAAUGCGAUAAGUAAUGUGAAUUGCAGAAUUCAGUGAAUCAUCGAAUCUUUGAACGCACAUUGCGCCCGCCAGUAUUCUGGCGGGCAUGCCUGUCCGAGCGUCAUUUCAACCAUCAAGCCCCCGGGCUUGUGUUGGGGACCUGCGGCUGCCCGCAGGCCCUGAAAACCAGUGGGCUCGCUGUCACACCGAGCGUAGUAGCAAUCACCUCGCUCAGGGCGUGCUGCGGGUUCCGGCCGUUAAACAGCCUUACAAAACCCAAGGUUGACCUCGGAUCAGGUAGGAAGACCCGCUGAACUUAAGC